rnacentral:rRNA from 1 species
CCUACGGGGUGCAGCAGUGGGGAAUAUUGGGCAAUGGGCGCAAGCCUGACCCAGCAACGCCGCGUGAAGGAAGAAGGCUUUCGGGUUGUAAACUUCUUUUCUCAGGGACGAAGAAAGUGACGGUACCUGAGGAAUAAGCCACGGCUAACUACGUGCCAGCAGCCGCGGUAAUACGGAGGCGGCAAACGUUAUCCGGAUUUACUGGUUGUAAAGGGCGUGUAGGCGGGACUGCAAGUCAGAUGUGAAAACCAAGGGCUUAACCUGUGGCCUGCAGUUGAAACUGUAGUUCUUGAGUACUGGAGAGGCAGGCGGAAUGCGUGGUGUAGCGGUGAAAUGCGUAGAUAUUAGGAGGAACACCAGUGGCGAAGGCGGUCUGCUGGACAGCAACUGACGCUGAGGCGCGAAAGCGUGGGGAGCAAACAGGAUUAGAUACCCUUGUAGUC